UACAGAGGGUGCGAGCGUUGUCCGGAAUCACUGGGCGUAAAGGGCGCGUAGGCGGCUUACCAAGUCAGGCGUGAAAUUCCCGGGCUCAACCUGGGGGCUGCGGCUUGAUACUGGUGAGCUUGGAAUACGGGAGAGGAUAGUGGAAUUCCCAGUGUAGAGGUGAAAUUCGUAGAUAUUGGGAAGAACACCAGUGGCGAAGGCGGACUAUCUGGCCCGGUUAUUGGACGGCUGAGGCGC
rnacentral:rRNA from 1 species